CGCGUAGGCGGACGAUUAAGUUAGAGGUGAAAGCCCCGGGCUCAACCUGGGAACUGCCUUUGAAACUGAUAGUCUAGAGUCCGAGAGAGGAUGGCGGAAUUCCCAGUGUAGAGGUGAAAUUCGUAGAUAUUGGGAAGAACACCAGUGGCGAAGGCGGCCAUCUGGCUCGGUACUGACGCUGAGGCGCGAAAGCGUGGGGAGCAAACA
rnacentral:rRNA from 1 species